rnacentral:rRNA from 1 species
CGAACGGCAGCGAGGAGAAGCUUGCUUCUCUGUCGGCGAGUGGCGAACGGGUGAGUAUAGCAUCGGAACGUGCCAAGUAGUGGGGGAUAACCAAACGAAAGUUUGGCUAAUACCGCGUAAGCUCCAAGGAGGAAAGUAGGGGACCUAAAUAAGGCCUUACGCUAUUUGAUCGGCCGAUGUCGGAUUAGCUAGUUGGUGGGGUAAUGGCUCACCAAGGCAAUGAUCCGUAGCGGGUCUGAGAGGACGAUCCGCCACACUGGGACUGAGACACGGCCCAGACUCCUACGGGAGGCAGCAGUGGGGAAUUUUGGACAAUGGGGGAAACCCUGAUCCAGCCAUGCCGCGUGUAUGAAGAAGGCCUUAGGGUUGUAAAGUACUUUUGUUAGGGAAGAAAAGCUAGUUUUUAAUAAAAAUUAGUGAUGACGGUACCUAAAGAAUAAGCACCGGCUAACUACGUGCCAGCAGCCGCGGUAAUACGUAGGGUGCAAGCGUUAAUCGGAAUUAUUGGGCGUAAAGCGAGUGCAGACGGUUACUUAAGCCAGAUGUGAAAUCCCCAAGCUUAACUUGGGACGUGCAUUUGGAACUGGGUGACUAGAGUGUGUCAGAGGGAAGUAGAAUUCCACAUGUAGCGGUGGAAUGCGUAGAGAUGUGGAGGAAUACCGAUGGCGAAGGCAGCCUCCUGGGAUAACACUGACGUUGAGGCUCGAAAGCGUGGGGAGC